GCGUUAUCCGGAAUUAUUGGGCGUAAAGAGCUCGUAGGCGGUUUGUCGCGUCUGCUGUGAAAACCCGAGGCUCAACCUCGGGCCUGCAGUGGGUACGGGCAGACUAGAGUGCGGUAGGGGAGAUUGGAAUUCCUGGUGUAGCGGUGAAAUGCGCAGAUAUCAGGAGGAACACCGAUGGCGAAGGCAGGUCUCUGGGCAUUAACUGACUCUGAGGAGCGAAAGCAUGGGGAGCGAACAGG
rnacentral:rRNA from 1 species